rnacentral:rRNA from 1 species
AAACUCUUUCUGUAGUCCCCUCGCGGACGUAUUUCUUACAGCUCUGAGCAAAAAUUCAAAAUGAAUCAAAACUUUCAACAACGGAUCUCUUGGUUCUGGCAUCGAUGAAGAACGCAGCGAAAUGCGAUAAGUAAUGUGAAUUGCAGAAUUCAGUGAAUCAUCGAAUCUUUGAACGCACAUUGCGCCCGCCAGUAUUCUGGCGGGCAUGCCUGUCCGAGCGUCAUUUCAACCCUCGAACCCCUCCGGGGGAUCGGCGUUGGGGAUCGGGACCCCUCACCGGGUGCCGGCCCUGAAAUACAGUGGCGGUCUCGCCGCAGCCUCUCCUGCGCAGUAGUUUGCACAACUCGCACCGGGAGCGCGGCGCGUCCACGUCCGUAAAACACCCAACUUCUGAAAUGUUGACCUCGGAUCAGGUAGGAAUACCCGCUGAACUUAAGCAUAUCAAUAAGCGGAGGA